AGUGAACGCUGGCGGUAGGCCUAACACAUGCAAGUCGAACGGCAGCACAGUAAGAGCUUGCUCUUACGGGUGGCGAGUGGCGGACGGGUGAGGAAUACAUCGGAAUCUACUUUUUCGUGGGGGAUAACGUAGGGAAACUUACGCUAAUACCGCAUACGACCUACGGGUGAAAGCAGGGGAUCUUCGGACCUUGCGCGAUUGAAUGAGCCGAUGUCGGAUUAGCUAGUUGGUGGGGUAAAGGCCCACCAAGGCGACGAUCCGUAGCUGGUCUGAGAGGAUGAUCAGCCACACUGGAACUGAGACACGGUCCAGACUCCUACGGGAGGCAGCAGUGGGGAAUAUUGGACAAUGGGCGCAAGCCUGAUCCAGCCAUACCGCGUGGGUGAAGAAGGCCUUCGGGUUGUAAAGCCCUUUUGUUGGGAAAGAAAAGCAGCAGGUGAAUAUCCCGCUGUUCUGACGGUACCCAAAGAAUAAGCACCGGCUAACUUCGUG
rnacentral:rRNA from 1 species